UCAGGAUGAACGCUGGCGGCGUGCUUAACACAUGCAAGUCGAACGAAGAUGCCGGAGUGCUUGCACUUUGGCAGACUGAGUGGCGGACGGGUGAGUAACGCGUGGGUAACCUGCCUUAUACAGGGGGAUAACAGUUGGAAACGACUGCUAAUACCGCAUAAGCGCACGGUAUCGCAUGAUACAGUGUGAAAAACUCCGGUGGUAUAAGAUGGACCCGCGUCUGAUUAGCUUGUUGGUGAGGUAAACGGCCCACCAAGGCGACGAUCAGUAGCCGGCCUGAGAGGGUGAACGGCCACAUUGGGACUGAGACACGGCCCAAACUCCUACGGGAGGCAGCAGUGGGGAAUAUUGCACAAUGGGGGAAACCCUGAUGCAGCGACGCCGCGUGAGUGAUGAAGUAUUUCGGUAUGUAAAACUCUAUCAGCAGGGAAGAUAAUGACGGUACCUGACUAAGAAGCACCGGCUAAAUACGUG
rnacentral:rRNA from 1 species